GACGAACGCUGGCGGCGUGCUUAACACAUGCAAGUCGAACGGAGUGGCGAACGGGUGAGUAACACGUGGGUGACCUGCCCUGCACUUCGGGAUAAGCCUGGGAAACUGGGUCUAAUACCGGAUAGUGUGGGAUGGGCCCGGGGCCUAUCAGCUUGUUGGUGGGGUAAUGGCCUACCAAGGCGGCGACGGGUAGCCGGCCUUGGAGGGUGGACGGCCACAUUGGGCCUGCGAGAGGGACCAGAGUGCUACGGGAGGCAGCAGGGGGGAAUAUUGUACAAUGGGGGGAAGCCUGAUGCAGCGACGCCGCGUGGGGGAAGACGGCCUUCGGGUUGUAAACUCCUUUCACCAUCGACGCGGUAGAUGGAGAAGAAGCACCGGCUAACUACGUGCCAGCAGCCGCGGUAAUAC
rnacentral:rRNA from 1 species